AGCAGCCGCGGUAAUUCCAGCUCCAAUAGCGUAUAUUAAAGUUGUUGCAGUUAAAAAGCUCGUAGUUGAAUUUCGGGAUCAAUACGUCGGUCGUGCUUCGGUACGUACUGGCGUAAUUGAUUUCUCCCUUCUGACGAACCAUGAUGUCAUUAACUUGGUGUCAUGGGAAAUCAGGACUGUUACUUUGAAAAAAUUAGAGUGUUUAAAGCAGGCUCACGCUUGAAUACAUUAGCAUGGAAUAAUGAAAUAGGACGUUCGAUCCUAUUUUGUUGGUUUUUAGGAUCAACGUAAUGAUUAAUAGGGAUAGUUGGGGGCAUUAGUAUUCAAUUGUCAGAGGUGAAAUUCUUGGAUUUAUUGAAGACUAACUACUGCGAAAGCAUUUGCCAAGGAUGUUUUCAUUAAUCAAGAACGAAAGUUAGGGGAUCGAAGACGAUCAGAUACCGUCGUAGUCUUAACCAUAAACUAUGCCGACUAGGGAUCGGAUGAUGUUAAUUUUUUAAUGUACUCAUUCGGCGCCUUA
rnacentral:misc_RNA from 1 species